GGUCUGAGGCCUUCCUGCCGUUCCGCCUUUUCAAAAGCCCCGUGGAUCGCUCCGCGGGGCUUUUCUUGUUUCAAG
rnacentral:sRNA from 1 species